GACGAACGCUGGCGGCGUGCUUAACACAUGCAAGUCGAACGGAGAAGCGCGUUCCUUUUUGGUGUGUGGGGAGGGGCGGCGAACGGGGGAGUAAGACGUGAGUAACCUUCCACGUUCUGAUGGAUAACCGCAUGAAAGGGUGGCUAAUACGGGAUAUUUUGAGCCUGUUGCAUGUUGGGUGUGGGGAGGCUAUGGUUUCGGUGGUGGAUGGGCUCGCGGCCUAUCAGCUUGUUGGUGGGGUGAUGGCCUACCAAGGCGGUGAGGGGUAGCCGGCCUGAGAGGGUGGACCGCCACAGUGCGAAUGCGCCACCGCCACGACUCCUACAGGCGGCAGCAGGGGGGCAUACUGCACAGGGGGAGGCAGGAUGGUGCAGCGCCGCCGGGGGGGUGAUGGACUUCUGCGGGUUGUGCACCGCUUUCGCGAGUGAACCAGGGCGGCCGCGACUGUGCGCGGCUUGACGGUAGCUGGACAAGAAGCGACGGCUAACUACGUG
rnacentral:rRNA from 1 species